rnacentral:rRNA from 1 species
UCAAAGCUAGCCUAUAUACCAAUUUAACUAGACCUUAUAAAUCUAAUCUAUAUUAUAAUUUUUAAUCAAAACAUUCUCAACCUUUUAGUAUGGGUGACAGAACAAUAACCCCAGCGCAAUAGCUUAUGUACCGCAAGGGAAAGCUGAAAAAGAAAUGAAACAAACCAUUAAAGUACUAAAAAGCAGAGAUCAUACCUCGUACCUUUUGCAUCAUGAUUUAGCUAGAAAAACUAGGCAAAAAGACCUUAAGUCUAUCUCCCCGAAACUAAACGAGCUACUCCGAAGCAGCAUUAUAGAGCUAACCCGUCUCUGUGGCAAAAGAGUGGGAAGACUUCCGAGUAGCGGUGAAAAGCCUACCGAGUUUAGUGAUAGCUGGUUACCCAAGAAAAGAACUUUAGUUCUGCAUUAAUUUUUCACUAUCUAGACAAGACUUACUCGUCAAAGAAAUCUAUAAGAAUUAAUAGUUAUUUAGAAGAGGUACAACCCUUCUAAACCAAGACACAACUUUUUAAGGUGGGAAAUGAUCAUAAUUAUUAAGGUUACCAUCUCAGUGGGCCUAAAAGCAGCCACCUGUCAAGUAAGCGUCGCAGCUCUAAUCUAAUAAUCAAACCUUUAAUCCAGAUAUUUACUCACAACCCCCUUUAUCCUAUUGGGUUAUUUUAUAUUUAUAUAAAAGAACUUAUGCUAAAAUGAGUAAUAAAGAGAAUAAAUCUCUCCCGACACAAGUGUACGUCAGAAAGAAUUAAAUCACUGAUAAUUAAACGACCCCAAACUGAGGCCAUUAUAUCACUUAACCAUCAACUAGAAAACCCUAUUCUCCUACUCGUUAUCCCUACACAGGAGUGUCAUCAGGAAAGA